rnacentral:rRNA from 1 species
CGGGCCCGACCCGAGCCCAGUCAACGUUUUGACCCGAUCAAAUCGGCCCGUGACCCGAAACGACCCUACUUGGGCCCUACAACAGCCACGUAAAGUUUCGGGAUGAUCCGACGUUCUUUCAUGGGGUUACGGACAAUCCACGCCAAACAAGCGUCACGGGCCGACCGAGCCGGGCCAACGGGCCCUCGGGACCCGAAAACUGAAUUUUUUUCAUCCAAACCCAUUAAAACACGUUACCGAGGUCUCACGCAAAAUUUCAUGCCAAUCCGACGUCGUUUGAUGGGGUUUUGAAAAAUUAUGAUUCCUCAAAAAUUUAAUGUCUGUUCCUGUCACUUAGCUUUUUGUGCAAAAUGUAUAUAUAGGGGAGGGGUGGGUGUUGAGCAGCCCAUGCCCGGGCAAGGCAUGCCAGCGCCCAAGCCAAAGGAGGCUGGUGGCGUGCGUAUAACAGCUCAAAUGCCCCAACGAUGACCGAGAACAAGCGCCCAUCUCCCCUCAUUCCCCCCCCACCAAGCGCCCCUCCCCCCCCAUGUUGCCUGCCCACUCGCACAGCUACUCGUGAUUUCAUGCCCAGCGACUAGUGAAUGUGCCUCGACGACCAGCAAACCUCGAAAAUUAUGAUUCCUCGUAAAAUUAAUGUCUGUUCCUGUCACUUUACUUUUUGUGCAAAAUGUAUAUAUAGGGGAGACCAGGGGCUUGAGCAACCCCUGUGCCCAAGCAAGGGUCAGAUGGAAGCACACGAGACGCGAGGUUUAAAGCCUAUACAAGCAAGGCGUCUGUCUCCCCAAGCCCCAUUGCCUAUAAAACAAGCCCGAUGCCUUGUAAAUGCCCCACACGAUGCCUAUAAAUGACAACGAUGUUUGCUAGUUAAUCGAUCGACGCCCCACACCUUGCAGCAUGUUGCCUAGUAAACAAGCCAUGCUGCCUUGGAAGCGCCCCACAUCAUGGCAUGUUGCCUAGCACGCUGCCCUUGUUUCCCGCACGGCGACCUGAAAGCGUGGCCUGACGACGUGCUUGCCUUCGAAAAUUAUGAUUCCUCAAAAAAUUAAUGUCUGUUCCUGUCACUUUACUUUUUGU